GACGUUUUUUCAUGCCUAUCACAGAAGGCUAGUUCUUUCCUCAAGGGUGGGGGUCUGUGUGCUUCUUCACAGUUCCUAGCAGAGUGCCCUGAGCAGAGAAGACACGCCGUACACACCUAUGGGAUGGAAAGUGUCUCUUCUCUGUGACCCCCUUGUUGGCGUGCCCCCUUUCCUCCACUUCCUCUGUGAUGUGUGAGCAUUCAGCCGAGGCUCUGCCUUGUUCUGUGCUCAUUCUUUCGGUGUCAGCUACGGUGCCCUUGAGGAGAGAUCAUUUUUCCUCCAGUAUCGCUAGUGCACAGCACAGAGGCGGAUGCACAGCGGGCACUUACAUGAAAACCUCUUUAUGUAUCUUUUUUUGUUUGUUUUUUUGCAGUGGUGCUAUCUUGGCUCACUGCAACCUCUGCCUCCCGGGUUCAAGCGAUUCUCAUGCCCCAGCCUCCCAAAUAGCUGGGAUUAUAGGCGCCUGCCACCGCGCCUGGCUCAUUUUUGUAUUUUUAGUAGAGACGAGGUUUUACCAUGUUGGCCAGGCUGGUCUUGAACUCCCGACCUCAGGUGAUCCACCCAUUCAGCCUCCCAAAGUGCUGGGAUUACAGGCGUGAGCCACCGCGCCCGGCCUAUGUGUCCUUUUUGAGACACAAGGUAGAUAAUCAUCCCCAUUUUAGAUGAGGGAAACCGAACCGUUGAGAGUUGAAGAGCAUGUCACGUAACUAAUUAGUGACUGAAUGAAGACUGGAGGGAAGGCUAGCAACCAGGCCUUGUAGCUCCUGGUUCACUCAUCUUUUUAAGGGACCAGGGGCUUACUCUGUAGCUGGAGGGCAAGAGGUUAGUUUCGAAGAACUGUUUGGAAUGAGAUACUUUCUGAAAGGGCAAAGGGCAGCUCAGAGUUGAUCUGCUGGGUUCUUCCAGUAUUCCACUUCCACCUGGAAUGGGCGUGAACUCAGUCCACCCAAGUCUGACUGUCAGACGGAGGAGGCAGCCUUUUCCCUAACUCAGGCUUUCUCUGUUACAGAACCAGACAGGCCCAGCACAGCAGAACAGAGUGAAAGAAAACAUCGCUCACCACCCCAGGGCUUAGCAUACCGGCCACUUGGCAGCCUGCUCGGCUGAGUUUAAAGCUACACUCACUCAGACCAGGGAGUGCCCUGUAAGUAUCCAGACUGCCAGCUACCCCUACUAGCACAGAGAUUGCUGAACCUUGUACCCUUUGCUGAGCCCCAGUUGGCCUGUUCAUUUGGCACAAGGAAGAUGUUUCUUCAUCCACAGCUAAAGCCGCUAUAGAGCCAGAACCUUUCCGGUUCUGGAGAGCUUCUUCCCCUCUCCCUGCAUGACAAAAAAUCACCUACUUUUAGGCCAAGACAAAUUUGGGACAAAAACAAAGCCCCA
rnacentral:lncRNA from 1 species